rnacentral:rRNA from 1 species
UACGAAGGGGGCUAGCGUUGCUCGGAAUCACUGGGCGUAAAGCGCGCGUAGGCGGACCUGCAAGUCGGGGGUGAAAGCCCGAGGCUCAACCUCGGAACUGCCUUCGAUACUGCGGGUCUCGAGUCCGGGAGAGGUGAGUGGAAUUCCUAGUGUAGAGGUGAAAUUCGUAGAUAUUAGGAAGAACACCAGUGGCGAAGGCGGCUCACUGGCCCGGUACUGACGCUGAGGUGCGAAAGCGUGGGGAGCAAACAGG